AUCGCUUCUCGGCCUUUUGGCUAAGAUCAAGUGUAGUAUCUGUUCUUAUCAUGAGCGGAGAAGACGACAGACUCACCCCGGUCCUGCAAAUAGGAGCAUGUUUUACCAGCGUUCUUUUACCGGACUUUUAUUGGACUUUUUAAACCGAUAUUAUUCUUCACUUUUAAAACCAGAUGAACUUUU